rnacentral:rRNA from 1 species
GAAACCUGGUUGAUCCUGCCAGUAGUCAUAUGCUUGUCUCAAAGAUUAAGCCAUGCAUGUCUAAGUAUAAACAACUUUAUACGGUGAAACUGCGUACGGCUCAUUAUAUCAGUCAUUAUUUAUUUGAUGGUCCCUUACUACAUGGAUACCCGUAGUAAUUCUAGAGCUAAUACAUGCGUCAAGUCCCGACUAUU